CGGGGGGUAGCGUAGCUUGGUUUAGCGCACUUGCUUGGGGUGCAAGAGGUCGCCGGUUCAAAUCCGGUCCCCCCGACCA
rnacentral:tRNA from 1 species